rnacentral:lncRNA from 1 species
GGGUUCCCUGUACGUACCCCUUUCCCUCCAGCACUGGAGCCCGAGUCUCCCGCUGAGCAGGCACCUCUCCCUCCACGCCCAGGCUUCUUAAACCAACCCCUCCUCCCCUUGUCAUUCAUGAACCAGAUGCAGAAACUGAGGCUCAGAAGCGUUCGGCCACGUGCAUGCAUUGCCUUUCCCAUUGGUGCUCCAUCGCCAGUAAUGGAUAAGUAAUAAGUAAUAAGGUGCAUUGGAAAUUCAAAUUUCAGAAUAAGCUGACUGCCAAGAGGGCCCUCCCCCUGUCGGGAGUCCCUUAGUCCAUGGGAAAUUCACAGAGAAGGAAACAGUCACUUUUCCUGCACCUGAGAAGGCUGGAGUGCAGUGGCGCGGUCUUGGCUCACUGCAACCUCUGCCUGCCGGGUUCAAGUGAUUCUCCUGCCUCAGCCACCUGUGAGCCACCGUGCCAGCCAGCCUCAGUGAUUUCUUAGGAGCCUGUUGUAUGCAAUCUUGAGGGCUGAAGAAGUGAGAGGGACCCACCCCAUCCUACCUCUACAGAAUGCUUGGCACCCCCACCAAUGUUCCUAGACUCCAUCUCAGGACCAAGGUGAUUCUGACUCUCCUGGAACCUGAGAACCACCAGUCUACGGGAACAGAGCCCUGCUUUGGGUCAGACGGGGUUUCGCCGGGCUGGUCUCCGCUCCUGACCGCGAGUGAUCCGCCGGCCUCGGCCUCCCGAGGUGCCGGGAUUGCAGAUGGAGUCUCGUUCACUCGGUGCUCAAUGGUGCCCAGGCUGGAGUGCAGUGGCGUGAUCUCGGCUCGCUACAACCACCUCCCAGCCGCCUGCCUUGGCCUCCCGAAGAGCCGAGAUUGCAGCCUCUGCCCGGCCGCCACCCCGUCUGGGAAGUGAGGAGCGUCUCUGCUUGGCCGCCCAUCGUCUGGGAUAUGAGGAGCCCCUCUGCCUGGCUGCCCAGUCUGGAGGGUGAGGAGUGUCUCUGCCCGGCCGCCAUCCCAUCUAGGAAGCGAGGAGCGCCUCUUCCCCGCCGCCAUCCCAUCUAGGAAGUGAGGAGCGUCUCUGCCCGGCCGCCCAUCGUCUGAGAUGUGGGGAGCGCCUCUGCCCCGCCGCCCUGUCUGGGAUGUGAGGAGCGCCUCUGCUGGGCCGCAACCCUGUCUGGGAGGUGAGGAGCGUCUCUGCCCGGCCGCUCCGUCUGAGAAGUGAGGAAACCCUCUGCCUGGCAACCGCCCCGUCUGAGAAGUGAGGAGCCCCUCCGUCCGGCAACCACCCUGUCUGGGAAAGGACUUCAAGGCACACUCAAGUUGGAGACCACAGGGCUUCAUUCUGUGUCCUCAUGUAACUCUUAAGAAAAUCAGGAGUCCAUUCCGAACCCUUGGGUGAACUGAAGGCUCUGGGCAGCCCUCCCUGAGGAGGUAGCCCUGUCCCCAGGGCCCUGGAUGGUGAGGAUGACCCAGCCUUCGUAACCCUGCCCUCACACACAGCGCUCACUCCAAAGCUUGCUGGAAUCAUCUGAGGCUACCAGUGUCUACAGCACAUCGAGCUACCCUUAUGGAGCCUGGGACCAGCCCCAGGAAGCCAAUCUCAGCUCAGGAGCCAGGAUUUUAGUGCAAAGCUGCGCCCCCUUCUGUAAACCAUGGUUCUCCUGAGAAACAGCUCAUGCCUUUGCCUGGGAACAGAUGGUUCCGCAGCAGCCAGCCCCAGCCUGAAAUGAGUUGCGGAGGCACUGCUGCCUGUCUCCACCAGCAAGAGGGAGGAGAGGCCCUUCCCGUGCCUGCAGCAGUCCAGGGUAGAUGCAAGCAGAAAGACUGGUGAAGACUGGAGCUCCUGGGCAGAAGCACUGACAGGCACGUGGGGUCCUGUAUGAAGAGCUGCACUUUGUGUGAAAGGAAAGGUGGCCCAAGGUCUGGCUCUACUUCAGCCGGGGCAGUGGCUGGUGGUCUUGCCGGGUGGGCCAGUCUUGGGAGGGGGUGAUGGGGAAGUUGGUGAAACAGAGGCACUGGGUCAGCAACUAUGUGGUGGGACUCUCAGAAACGGCCCAGAUUACAAGAGAAUGCUUGACCCGAGUGACUGUUUACCAAAGCCCUCCCCCUCAAAAGAGGCUUUUAACAGUCAGGUGACACCUGUGGGUGUCACCAUCUUCCCUUUCUCUAUUAUUAGGACCUGGACAAAAUUCAAGAAGAUGUCCCAACCACAUGUAGCCUUACCUUUGAUACUUCCAAUUGCAAUGAGACUUAAAUUUUAGAAUAAGAGAUACACGCUGGGCGCGGUGGCUCACGUCUGUAAUCCCAGCACUUUGGUAGGCCAAGGCCGGUGGAUCACCUGAGGUCAGGAGUUUGAGACCAGCCUGGCUAACAUGGCAAAACCCCGUGUCUAGUAAAAAUACAAAAAUUAGCCGAGCGUGGUAGUGCACGCCUGUAAUCCCAGCUACUCAGGAGGUGGAUGCAGGAGAAUCGCUUGAACUCGGGAGGCGGAGGUUGCAGUGAGCCGAGAUUGCACCACUGCACUCCAGCCUGGGUGACAGAGCAAGACUUUCUCAAAAAAAUAAAAAAAUAAAAUAAUAAUAAUAAAAAGAGGAUACAGACCAUUUACAGGGUUUUUCCUGGUCCAUUAUCCUGCUCUAAUAAUGCCAAUCAACAUGUGAUCAUUAUUCCCUGGGGACAGAACUAGUCACCACUAGUUUGUGACUCUACCUCAUUUGAGGUGGCAUCCAGGGUGACAUCCCAGACUUCCUUACCUUACUUGAAGCACGAUGAGCCUUAAUUUUCGAAUAGAAAUGUUGACCAGCAAGCCAGCUUUUUUUUUUUUUUUUCCAGGACAAGGAUAAAUUCCCUUAAGAAUUUUGCAAACAUCACAUGUUUUCUUUCCCCUUGUUGCAAUAUAUGUAAUUUAUCUCCUGGUGUAACUUGCUUAAUAGUUACCGUUUGUUAAUUCCAUCUGCUUCCCAAGAGGAGAACAUACUGUUACGUGGUGAAGUCCUGGGUUCUGUGAGUCUCCCAUAAGCCACAGCUGGUCAAGAAACGAAUCAAUGGGGCCACGAACAAAGUGGCCAUGGAAGCAGGUAUGGGUGAAGGCAUGAGGGCAGGCACGGGGGCAGGCAAGGGGGCAGGCAAGGGGGCAGGCACGGAGGCAGGUAUGGAGGCAGGCACGGAGGCAGGUAUGGGGGCAGGCAUGGGGGCAGGCAUGGGGGCAGGCAUGGAGGCAGGUAUGGGGGCAGGCACGGAGGCAGGUAUGGGGGCAGGCACGGAGGCAGGCAUGGAGGCAGGCAUGGGGGGCAGGCAUGGAGGCAGGUAUGGAGGCAGGUAUGGGGGCAGGCAUGGGGGCAGGUAAGGAGGCAGGCAUGGAGGCAGGUAAGGAGGCAGGCAUGGGGGCAGGUAUGGGGGCAGGCAUGGAGGUUUUGCCCAGCUUCUCCAGUACGACCUUCCCUCACCAAAGCCAACCUGGUUGCCAUCACCUCUGAGUGGCCACACCUGAGCCCUUGUGGCUCAGCCAGCCAGCUGGUGACUGCCUGGUUACACAAACAUUUUCCUUCAUGGAAGACAGCAAUUUGUCCUCCUUCGAUGGAUCCUUGUUGUCGAGCUGGACUUGCGUUUCCAUCCUCCCUCUGCACUUCCAAUCAGGGUCUCACUGAAGGGCACCUGUUGGGUGUCCUACAGGACAUUGCCUCCUGCCGAGAAGCUCAUGCUUCUGUGAAGGCUGCAGAGGUGUGAAACAGUGGGCCAGGCCAGACACAGUGGCUCUCGCCUAUAAUCCCAGCACUUUGGGAGGCUGAGGCAGGUGGAUCACCUGAGGUCCGAGGUUCAAGAUCAGCCUGGCCAACAUGGUGAAACCCCAUCUCUACUAAAAAUAUAAAAAUUAGCUGGGCAUGGUGGCAGGUGCCUGUAGUCCCAGCUACUCAGGAGGCUGAGGCAGAAGAAUCACUUGAACCUGGGAGGUGGAGGCUGCAGUGAGCCGAGAUCAUGCCACUGCACUCCAGCCUGGGCAACAGAGUGAGACUCCAUCUCAAAAACAUAAAGAACAAAAAAACCAACAACAA